ensembl:ncRNA ZC21.15 ncRNA
CGAUGAAAAAUGUGCUCUUUGCGCUGAAAUAUGAUUCAAGCGAGUACAUAACUGGUCUCUAGGGACAUUUAUUCUUCUAUAGUUUUCAUAAAUUUUCAAGUUUCUUGCAAAACACGUUCAAUUUUCAAGUUUAACUUUAGUGAUUG